UUCUCUUAGUCUAAUUAUUCAUUGUGGUAUGGAUUUGACCCAAAAUUUUUGAAGGCUGUGCCAGUGGAAUAUAAGCUCUGUAAAAUAUUUCCUGUCCUCAAGGAGCUCAAAUUCUGUGAUGGGAGACAACAUAUACACCCAGAAGUGAAUAUAAAAUAUAUACUACAAAGUCAUUUCAGAGAAAGAGAAAACUAAUAACCUGGAACAAAUAAAGGCUUCCUGUAAGAAGUGGCACUUUAUAUAACUCUUGAAAUGAGAUAUGGAUUCCACCAUUGAAAGUGACAGAAGAGAAUCUUCAAGGCAGGAGUACAACCUAUCCAAAGGCAUGAAGGAGUUCAUCUAUAAGGAAGAUGAUUUCCAAGUUUCAAGAAAUUUCUUUAUAUAG
rnacentral:lncRNA from 1 species